AUAUCAAGUUGAAACACCGGUACCCCCGUACGAUCACCGAAGUUAAGCAACCUCGAUCCUGUUCAGUACCUAGAUGGGUGACCGGUUCGGAAUACCAAGUGCUGUAAG